rnacentral:lncRNA from 1 species
AGAAACUGCAAGAGUGAGAGUUGCUCAUAGAGUAGAAUACUGGCUUUGGAUAUAGGAGAUGAAGACUUUUUCAGCACCGCCACUAACUUCCGUGCUGACAGCCAGUGAGGAAGAGCCGAGGGAAGACGGAGUAUGAAAAGAGAGGAAGACAGCUGCUGGACAUGGAAACUUUUAAAUGCAUAAUGCAGCAGAGUAUGAGGUCACAAAAUAAAAAUACUGAACAAAUAGAACAACUUUUCAUGAAAAUAGACUAUGAAUCAAUGGGCAGAAUUCAAUGGGAUGGCUUCUGCACGUAUUUGCAGCUAGAGUAUUCAGAGCAAGUGGAUGCUUUGGCCCAAGAGAAAGAGGUUUCCUUCCAGCUGCCUGCUGCGCUGCAAGGGCUGUCAUAUGGGGGUCCCGUGCUGCGCAUUCUCUCUAUGCCUGACGACACCGUAAUCAUGAUCAGAGAAGAUGGAGCGAUUUAUUUCUGGUCCCUGCAGCUGAAGUUGAAAAGAAGAAAGAGAGUUUUUGACAAGUCCAUGAGUUGGAAGCCCAGGUCGAUGACAGAUGUCAUCGGCAUGCCACAGUACAACAAACUGAUCAUAGGGACUAGAAACCGUGAAAUCCAGCUAUGUGAAUUCUCCAACUGGGAGCCUUACUGUCAGAUCAGUGGCUUAGAAGGUGUUCCUCUGAAACUGGACUACUGGUAAGAGCAUCUCCAGGACCAGCAGGGCCUCAGGGGGGUACACUCUUUCCAAGGCACUGGGGCCUUCUCUCCUCUCUCCUUGGGCAGUUACAUUCAGUUGUGUUCAAUCAGUAAAUGUCAGGGCUUCAUGCAGCCUGUCAUGACCAUGCCACGCAUCACAGUACUACCCAGAAUGGAG